rnacentral:lncRNA from 1 species
GCAAACUCCUGUGUUUGCUUUUUCUUCCCUUUCUUUGCUGUUCCUAAGCGGGUUCCUCAACUUGGGAGAGAAUGUGAAGGUUGGGGAGGGGGUGUAGUUUGCUGUUUGGGAAUGAUUCUGCUAUAUGGGCCUUUCAGCUCAUGUCAGGUGGAGAGAAAGCCAGCUCUGAAAUUUCCAGGCAGGAGCUACAGGCUUCUGCACAGGUGAGGGGAGAUGCUGGUCGGUCCCAGGAGCAGCUGUGGCCUGCAGUUUCUAUAUCCCCAAGGUGGUGGGAGGGCCUGAGAGGGAAUGGGCCUGAAGGAGCUGGAGGCCAGGCCCAGGGAUCCUGCAGGCUUGUCCCACGUGAUGGGACACCUGGCCUGGCAUAGCCCUGUGUGAGCAGUGGGCGGAGGGCAGGGCAGUUCUCAAAAUCAGAGACUGAACCUCCUUCCUGUCAGUAGAGAUUGGGACGUCUAUUCAUUUUGUGGAAAAUACUUAGAGAAAAAUUAAAGGAUGGCAGGCUCUGUCAUGAGUGUCCCACCUGUGCUGCUGCACAGAGCUCAGCCCUCAGAGGGUUCCUGCUGUGUUCAAUCCUCUCCUGUUGGUGUCUUAAAUUUCACAAUGACUUUCGCAAAGUGUCUCUGCGUUUCCACUUUGCACAGGCCCUGUAGAUCCUGCAGCCGGGUCUGCUGGCUUGCUAUUUCUUGCAUAGUUGAGUCUGGUUUCAGGCAACGCUUGGCACCUGGCAACUAUGUAUUGACCACGACUGUGGCUCCUGCACAGGCCCUUUGCUGACAGUCUCUUUGGCCUUCCCACUCUGCGGGGAAACUGAGGCUGAGAGUGGGGAAGGCUUGACCAGUGAGGCCCACUCCUCCAUGGUGACCCGAAAGCUCGUUCUCUCCUUGCAGAGCUGAGCCUGAGCAUCCUCACAUUUGCCUGCAUUUGUUCCAGGGCCUUUCCCUGGGAGUUUCCAAGCUCCAGGUGGGCAGGAGGCCAUGGGCGGGGCCUUUCUGCACAAACGUCUUUUCUUUUUAGUGUCUGCCCUUAAAGGGAGGCGGCUAACAAUCUCCGCUCCUCACCUCCUCACCAGAUCCCCGGCUCCAUGCUGUCGCUUCCUGGGAGAGGCUCAGGCCAGGACACAGAACCCACACCCCACGGCCCGGACCGCGCAGAGCGUCCCCUCCACAUAGGAGCGCCCCUUCUAGGAGGGCUGCCGCCCUCCUGCCCAAGCCCUCCAAGACAGGAAGGAAGCAGAACCUACAGAGGAUCAGACAACAGGCUCAGGACAGGAAGUGCCGGGUCGGAUGCUUCCUCCAGCCCGUGUAUCCUGAGACCAGUGCCAUGUGGGGCCGCCAGAGUCCUGCCUGGUGCCCAGCACUCCUCUUCCUGGAAACGCAUCCCUGUUUAGCGUAGCAAAAAUGGGGAGCUAGUAAACCUCGUGUCAUGGGCUAUGAAUGGAGACAUAAAACACUGAAAAUUCUACUACUGCGAAAGUGAAACAGUCUUGCUCCAAAUAUGGCCUUGACUAAAUUAAUUAUUAAAAUAUAAAGGGAAACAACUUCCUUUCACAUACUUGGUUGAGAAAGCAACUAAAAAAUUUAUUUCUUCUCCCAUGAGAAACACUACCUUUUAAGAUAAAAUUUAUUUUCUGUAUAUUUGCAUUAAGAGAAAAUAUGAAAAUAUUUAAUUGACAUUUUUUAUUAAAAGACUAUCAGCAUUGAAAGACAAAUUUCACAGGAAAAGCAUUGAAUCAUUAAGUUUUGUAGUCACAAAGGUUGUUGAAAGUGGGGCUUACCUG